rnacentral:rRNA from 1 species
AUGAAGUUUGAAAGUUUUGAGGAGGCUGUUGAUCACUACGAGCUAUAUGCACUCAGAAAUGGAUUUGGGACAAGGAUAGAGUACACAAGAACACUGAAGGACAACAUAGUGAGCAGAGCACUCCUGAUGUGUGGGAAAGGCGGCAAGCCAAAGAAGAAGAAGAAGGAUGUACUGAACCCAAAAGGCAUCGUGAAGAAGAGUAAAAGGCGUAAGGUUAAGAGGACUCAGUGACCAGCCCGCCUUUACCUUACGCACAAGGAUGCGUGGUGGAGAGUCGAACGCUUUGAUGACAACCACAACCAUCCACUGAUAAGAAAGCCAUCUCUGACAAAAUACACAACACAUGACCUUGCAAAUCAGCGAGCCAAAUUUCGCAAGGAGUACCGUAAUGCAGACGUGGGGAGCACAAUUUCAUACUUUGAGGAGCUCAGGGCAAAGGAUCCAGAUUUCUAUUGGAGAAUGAAACUUGAUGAUGAAGACAGGGUGGAAAACGUAUUCUGGAUAGAUGGUGCAUCACAUAGGGCAUACGCAAAAUACAACGACAUUGUGUCAUUCGACACAACGUACAUGACUAAUAUGUACAAGAUGUCGUGUGCCCCCUUCAUUGGCAUUAACAACCAUGGGGAAUCAAUCCAAUUCGGUUGUGGUUUCGUUCGAAACGAACUGACUGACAACUUUGUGUGGUUGUUUAACACAUUUUUGCAUGCGAUGGGUGGGGUUGUACCAAAGAACAUAAUCACAUAUCAGGACUUUGCCAUGAGGAAUGCUAUUGACGAGGUGUUCAUCGGGAUAGUACACAGAAAUUGCAGAUGGCACAUUAUGAAGAAAGCACAUGAGAAGCUUGGGAGGUUAAUGGCCGAUGAUGAACCACUGAACAAAGCAUUCAAAGAUUGUGUUGACAACAACUUGAAUGUUGAGGAGUUUGAGGAAAAAUGGUGGAAGAUGCUGGACGAUCAUGGGCAAACGGACAACGAGCAUUUCCACUGGCUGUGGGAAAACAGGGAAUGCUGGGUCCUAGUGUACUACAUGCACGACUUCUUCCCAUUCUUGUAGACAACGGCAAGGAGCGAGGGAUUCAACGCUGUGUUGAAGAAGUACGUCAACCCAAAUAACUUGCUAGUGGAAUUUGCAAAACAGUACACUGCAAUACAAGAGAAGGAGAUGGUGAGCGUGUCAAAAGAGCACCUGGAAAUAGUGUACAAAGAGGUGGAAACAUACUCCUUCAACCCACUCAAGUUACAUGUGUAG